rnacentral:lncRNA from 1 species
GUGACACAAAAUAAUAACGGCUCAGAUAUUGUAUAGGUUUAAAACGUACAGAUGACAAACUCUAACCUAGAAACUCUAGCCUUAACUACGCUUCUUUACAAAUAAGAAUUCUAUAUCGACUCAAUUCAUGCACAUCCAGGCAAGACAUCGCCCCCGAUCUCAUCCUUCAUUACAUACAUGCAAUAAUUAGUCCUCUCGCCAGCAACAAGGAGCAGACAGGUUGUGUGGUAGUACUUGCAGGUAAUGUUCAUUAUCUCCUUCCACAAAUAAUACAUGAAUGUCUCCUUGCAAUGAUUAAUAUAUGCAUUAACUCUCUGAUCUCAUUCACAUGCUUUGUAUUAACUUCGCCGAUAAACUUGAGAUUCAAAUCACCAAUUACAGAGCGUGCACAUCCCAGCAAGACAUUGCCCUCCUCUCGCAAGCAGCAAGGAGCAGACAGGUUGUGGCAGUACUUGCAGCCAAUGUUCAUUAUGUCCUUCCACAAAUAAUAUAUGCAUGUCUCCUGCAAUGAUUAAUAUAUACAUCAACUCUCCGAGCUCAUUAAACAUGCUUUGUAUUAACUUGAAUUAUAGAGAGAAAGCGACGAUAAACUUGAGAUUCAGAUCACCAAUUACAGAGCAUAUACGUCCUCUCAUUGGAAGGUGACAACACAAGUAUCCUUCUUUCACAAUAGAAUAAUGAUUUUAGACGAUUUAAAAUCCUUUGUUGGAAAACGAUCCAUACGAAAAAGAAUCUCAUCAGGAAACUAUCUAUUCCAUACAAAUACCUUCAGCAUCCUUGCAAACAAUGUGGUGCCUGACAUGUUUACAUUAAAUUUAUCAUCAGCAAUUCUGAAUUUCUGGACAAAUAAAAUCAGUUACAUAUAAGAUGUCCUCACUUAUAUCUCAGAAUAAAAUCAAUUACGCUUUUUACCUCAUUUAUUUCAGGAUUCACUAGCCGCAGUCAACAUGCGUCAAACACGCACUAGAGCAAACCAAAACAAAGGAAGGUGUUCAUUACCACAGUACCAAAAAUAAUCAUAUAAAUAUUAAUUUACCUGGAUUAUUAAAAUGAUAACAAAAUAAAAUGCAUGAAUAUGUGACGUCAUCAAGGAAUCCAAAUACCUGAGCAAGCAGCCUCCAAACUAGCAACACUCGAAUCUAAUGAUAGUCAAUCAGACAUCAUUAGAGCAGCAACAAAGGAAGCUAGGCGGAAAAGGAAAGAGAUCCUCCAGCUGAAAAAGGCAAGCAAACGACUAAGGACAGAAAAGGGCAAUGACUGUGAAGUAUCUAAUGUAGCGAAGGAUGUCACUCAAGUUUCAUAUCUGGGAAAACCAAAUUGUGUUUGUGAAUUUUGCAAUGCCAUAUGUGGCAUGGAGAGAGAAGCACAAGCACAGGUAACAUCACAGUUCCAAAAUUUGGUCUCUGCUGCAAGGAAGGGAAAGUUAAAUUACCACCACUGAAAGAAGCUCCGUUGUAUCUCCGACAGCUACUACGUUACAAUGAAAGAGGAGAAUCAUCAAAUUUCCGCCAGAACAUCAGGUCGUACAACUCGAUGUUCGCAUUCACUUCAAUGGGAGGAAAGGUUGACUAUGAAAUUAAUAAGCAGGCAUCUGGACCGUAUGUUUUCCGUUUGAAUGGACAGAAUUACCAUCAGAUUGGCACUUUACUUCCUAAAGAUGACGUGAUGAAACCAAAAUUUGCCCAAUUGUACAUACAUGACACAGAAAAUGAAGUGCGGAAUAGGAUUAAUGCAUCUGCUUCAACGGAGAGUAAGACACAACCAGAUGAAAACAUUGUCAAAGGACUACUGGAGAUGCUUGAUGAGCACAGUGUUUUAGUCAAAUCAUUUUGUAUGGCAAGGGACAGAUUCCAAAACCGGCGUAUUAAAGAUGUAAGACUAAGAUUGAUCAACAAAAGGUCGAAAGAUGGACGGCAAUACAACCUACCAUCUGCAUCAGAAGUCGCAGCACUAAUUAUUGGAACAAGAUGGAGAAAAUAAUGAAUUUGAUAUAAUAGUUGAGACCAAAGACAGAAUGUUACAGAGGAUUUCAGAGUUGCACCCAAGCUAUAUGUCAAUGCAGUACCCCUUGCUUUUUCCAUAUGGAGAAGAUGGUUUCAGACCAGAAAUAGAGUAUGAAAAUAAAAGAGGCAGCAAAGGUAAAAGAAAGUAUGUAACAAUGCUGGAGUUUUAUGCGUAUCGCAUACAACAACGUCUGAACCAAGCUUCAACAUUGCAAAUGAGUGGAUGUUUGUUCCUGCAGUUCUUAGUUGAUGCAGCAACAUGCAUUGAAUAGUGGAGACUAAAUUAGUACAGGACAAACCAAGGUAAGUUGAGGUCAGAACUGUACAGAGGACUGCAUGAUGCAAUAGAAAAUGGAGAUACACGAACCGAACAAGUUGGACAAAGAAUCAUACUACCCUCAUCAUAUAAUGGCAGUCCAAGAAAUAAGCAGCAAAAUUACCAAGAUGCCAUGGCGAUUUGUCGUUGGGCUGGCUAUCAUGAUCUCUUCAUUACUUUUACAUGCAAUCCAAAAUGGCUGGAAAUACAAGAUAUGUUGGAUCUAAUUCCAGGCCAGAAACCUGAGGAUCGUCCAGAUAUUGUUGCCAGAGUAUUCAUGUUAAAACUGAAGGAACUUAUGAAUGACAUAAAGAAUGGAAAGUGUUUUGGACAAACAAUUGCAAGUAAGUUUACCUAAUAAGUACAUAUUCACUCUUUCCUAGAUGAUUGUCCUAACUCAUUUCUUCUCCAAUUUGUUUACUUUCAUAAAGUUGUCUACACUAUAGAGUUCCAGAAAAGAGGCCUCCCGCAUGCACACAUACUGGUGUUUCUACACCCAGAUGAUAAAGAUCGACAAAAUCAUAUCAGCCGAAAUUCCUGAUAAGAAAAGUGAUCCAGAAGGGUACGAAGCAGUGCAAAAUUACAUGAUACAUGGUCCAUGUGGUCAAGCACACCCAAAAUCACCAUGCAUGGUCGAUAAAAGUUGUGCCAAACAUUUCCCCAAGAAUUUUUGCACUGAUACUACCAUAGAUGAAGAUAACUAUCCAGUAUAUAGAAGGCGAGAUGAUGGCAACACUGUGGACAAGAAUGGAGUGAAGCUAGACAAUAGAUUUGUUGUGCCAUACAAUAGAAACCUACUGGUUAAGUAUCAAGCCCACAUAAAUGUUGAAUGGUGCAACAGAUCAAGGUCUAUAAAGUAUUUAUUCAAAUACAUCCACAAAGGAGAAGAUCGAACAACCGUCUUGAUAGAAGCGGAAGACCAACAAAGUGAAACAAGAGCUAGCAAAUUAACAAACAGGGACGACGAAAUCAAGAGGUACCUUGAUGCCCGGUACAUAUCUGGAUGUGAAGCCGCAUGGCGCAUAUUUUAGUUUCCUCUUCAGUGCAGAGAGCCUGCGGUUGAAAGGUUACAAUUUCACCUAGAAAAUGAACAUGUUGUGGUGUUCCCGGACUCGAUGGAUUUAGAUCAAAUUGUAUCCCGGCCUAACAUAGAAAAGACAAUGUUCACAGAAUGGAUGACAGCCAACCAGUUGCAUGAAGAAGCUCGCAGUUUGACGUAUGCACAGUUUCCAACCAAAUGGACUUGGCAUGCACAAGAGAAAGAAUGGAGGAAAAGGCGUGGUGGAAAAAAAACCAUAGGCAGGAUUUACUAUGCGCAUCCAACGAGUGGUGAAAAAUACUACUUGAGAAUGCU